GCAAUGGUGUCUUUAGACACCACCACUACCUUCAGAUCCUAUGUUU
rfam:Picea glauca, whole genome shotgun sequence.